UGAACGCUGGCGGCGUGCUUAACACAUGCAAGUCGAACGGAGAUGCUAUGUGAGCGGAAGAUGCUUGCAUCCAACAAUCUUAUAGCAUCUUAGUGGCGGACGGGUGAGUAACGCGUGGGUAACCUGCCUUAUACCGGGGGAUAACACUUAGAAAUAGGUGCUAAUACCGCAUAAGCGCACGGUACCGCAUGGUACAGUGUGAAAAACUCCGGUGGUAUAAGAUGGACCCGCGUCUGAUUAGCCAGUUGGCAGGGUAACGGCCUACCAAAGCGACGAUCAGUAGCCGGCCUGAGAGGGCGGACGGCCACAUUGGGACUGAGACACGGCCCAAACUCCUACGGGAGGCAGCAGUGGGGAAUAUUGCACAAUGGGGGAAACCCUGAUGCAGCGACGCCGCGUGAGUGAAGAAGUAUUUCGGUAUGUAAAGCUCUAUCAGCAGGGAAGAAAAGAAUGACGGUACCUGACUAAGAAGCCCCGGCUAACUACGUG
rnacentral:rRNA from 1 species